rnacentral:lncRNA from 1 species
AUGGAGUUUACAGAAAGUGUUUUGUUUCCGCAGGGCGAAACAGGGGUGCAAGGUUUGAAAGGAGACCGGGGUGAUGUGGGGCCCCCCGGCAAGGCCAUUCAGAUGAAGGACAUUGAAGCCAUGUUCGAAGCCUAUGGAAUCAGGCUGCCCCUGCUCAAGGCCCUGGUGGACCACCUGCUGCAGGACGGAGUGGAGGAGCUGCUGCACGUGCUCAGCUCCACCAAGAGGCUCCAGGAGGUCAAGGAGACGCACGGCUCCAACGCCAUCCCUGAAUACACAAACUCUCUGGAGUAUGAGCUGAGCAGCCAGCCCCUGACGAAGGAGGGGUACCUGCCCGAUGUGGACGGACAGACGCCCCCGCCCGCCCCUGCUGACGUGCUCAACGGAACCACGGUGGGCCAAAGUACAUCAUGGGAGCUGUCGGGGGCGGACCGGGCCCCGGAGCCCAACGUCACCCAGAGCCGGCCCGACGGCCCCGGGCUGCAGGGCCGUCUGGAGGGCAACGUCAGCGCUGAUACCCCCCGGCUCCAGAUGAACCUGACCCUGGUCAACGCUCCGUCCAACGACAGUACAUCCAAGGAGAAGAUCUCCCGCCUGCCGGAGGUCGUCAUGGAGACGGGGGUUGUCACACAGGAGGAGGCUGAGAAGAAGGGUUCGGCAGAGAAGAAGAAGAACAAGGAACGCGGGAAGGGCAGAGGGAACAAAGGACGACAUAAGAGGCAGAGACAACGCCUGGUAAAUGCCCUUGAAGCUGGGUUCAAAAACAACAAGAAAUAA